GAUGAAGAACGCAGCGAAAUGCGAUAAGUAGUGUGAAUUGCAGAAUUCAGUGAAUCAUCGAAUCUUUGAACGCACAUUGCGCCCCUUGGUAUUCCAUGGGGCAUGCCUGUUCGAGCGUCAUUUGUACCUUCAAGCUCUGCUUGGUGUUGGGUGUUUGUCUCGCCUCUGCGUGUAGACUCGCCUCAAAACAAUUGGCAGCCGGCGUAUUGAUUUUGGAGCGCAGUACAUCUCGCGCUUUGCACUCAUAACGACGACGUCCAAAAGUACAUUUUUACACUCUUGACCUCGGAUCAGGUAGGGAUACCCGCUGAACUUAAGCAUAUCAAUAAGCGGAGGA
rnacentral:misc_RNA from 1 species